CACCUCUCAAGGUCGCACCUGCAGAAUUUCCAGUACCCUACCAGUUUUGACUACAGGAGGGAGAGUCAAGCAGAGGCCUAUCCAUUCCAUUCCUAGCUUGGGCAGUGGCUAGCGAAUGGAAGGCAAUCUGCUAUAUGU
rnacentral:snoRNA from 2 species